rnacentral:lncRNA from 12 species
GUUUUAAUGGGGGUUUUAUUUACUUUUAAAAGACAAGAUGUUGCGCAACUUCCAAAAUCACAAGAAUGUGGAACAUGGGAAGAAGUGCUGCUGAGGAAAGAAUAGUUCUAUCAGAUGGCAAGGCAAGUGCAGUCAUUAGAGAAACACAAAAUACUUUCAUCAAAGGCUGCUAUUACAGUGAAUAAUUUGUCUUACUCAUCCAUUGGGGAUAUCUAGUAAAGGCAUAUCAGUGCACACAUAUCAGUGUCUGGGGUCUUGUAAUUACACUGUAUUUAGUUUCCCCUUUUAAUGAUUAAUUUUAUUUGCACAUUUGGGAUAGUGUUAGGGUGUUCUGUCUCUAAGUGGUUGUAUUUGUAUUCCUUAGUCUUGGGAAUCCUUAAAAAGGAUGAAUCUUGGAUUUUCCCUGUUUGCUCCUCUCCUGACAAAUUCUGUGAUGGGUAAAUCAAAUAUAUAUCUGGCUGACAGAACUUAGCCUUACAGCUCCAAGACUUCACCAGGUGGCAUUGGCUGAAACUUAAAUAGAGAAGACCAGAUUUAACCCCAAGGCACAACUCUGCUUCCAUGGAAAUAGCUGGUUUCAUUGAGAUCUGAAUAUGCAACUCCAAAAAAUAAAUGAAAAUUUCUACUCAGCAUAUGUCAAUUCAGUCUUUUCUGACUAUCUGGCAUAAUCCUCAUGAUAUCCAGGAAAAGGUAUUUUGUAGCACCAGCAUUCUAGAUAAUAAAAUUUACCACUAAGUGGAAAAUUUGCCAUAAAUUUACACUACUGUAAACUUAAUUUACAUAGAAUUGUAGAUGAAUGUUAU